rnacentral:tRNA from 1 species
AAAACUAAUAUAGGAGAAUUUCUAAUUCUCUUGAGGCUUAUAGUCAAGUUUUU